rnacentral:rRNA from 1 species
UACGUAGGGUGCGAGCGUUUAAUCGGAAUUACUGGGCGUAAAGCGUGCGCAGGCGGUGAUGUAAGACAGGUGUGAAAUCCCCGGGCUUAACCUGGGAACUGCAUUUGUGACUGCAUCGCUGGAGUGCGGCAGAGGGGGAUGGAAUUCCGCGUGUAGCAGUGAAAUGCGUAGAUAUGCGGAGGAACACCGAUGGCGAAGGCAAUCCCCUGGGCCUGCACUGACGCUCAGUGCACGAAAGCGUGGGGAGCAAACAGG